AUUGAACGCUGGCGGCAUGCUUUACACAUGCAAGUCGAACGGUAACAGGCCGCAAGGUGCUGGCGAGUGGCGAACGGGUGAGUAAUGCAUCGGAACGUGCCCAGUCGUGGGGGAUAACUACUCGAAAGAGUAGCUAAUACCGCAUACGAUCUAUGGAUGAAAGCGGGGGACCGUAAGGCCUCGCGCGAUUGGAGCGGCCGAUGUCAGAUUAGGUAGUUGGUGGGGUAAAGGCUCACCAAGCCAACGAUCUGUAGCUGGUCUGAGAGGACGACCAGCCACACUGGGACUGAGACACGGCCCAGACUCCGACGGGAGGCAGCAGUGGGGAAGUUUGGACAAGGGGCGCAAGCCUGAUCCAGCAAUGCCGCGUGCAGGAAGAAGGCCUUCGGGUUGUAAACUGCUUUUGUACGGAACGAAACGGCUCUGGUUAAUACCCGGGGCUAAUGACGGUACCGUAAGAAUAAGCACCGGCUAACUACGG
rnacentral:rRNA from 1 species